rnacentral:lncRNA from 1 species
AGUCUUGGCGGAAGCCUGAGACGCAAUAGAUGGAGACUCUCCUUUUCGCCUUGGCGUACUCUUUUUUUUUUUUUCCUCCCUGGAGCUGGUCUUGUGGGGCAGCCCUAAAAUGUAUCUCCAAGUGACCCUGCACUCAUCACUUGCUGCCUUGGACUUAGUUUCCUCAUUCGUAGAAUGGAGACACCACACUUUCUGAAGUGCUUAUGAGACUUGCAGGAGGCUGGGAGCUACCAGAGUAUUUGACCUUGGGCACAGCUGGGGUGGCCCCGAUGGCGCUGCUGUCUGCUGAUGGUCUCCACAGCUUCCCCAGCGAGGCCUUCCUGGAAGGAGUGCUGAGCAGCAAAGCUCUGUGGUCACCACUCAGGACAAAGGGGAACCAGCUGAACAGAGCCUUUCAUGUGACAACAAAAAACGACCUGGCUCAAACAUCACGACAGGCAUCUGUGGAGCCUGGGAAAUGACCUUUCUCAUGGGGAGAACACAGAACACACAAAGCUUUCUCUUAAAAGUCUACAAAAUUAUAAUCUGAUAACAACAGAACGUUUUGGUAUUUUGAGUAAUAGGUGUCACAUCGGAAUUGAUAUUUGCCAAAUUUGGCAUGAUAAUUGAAUGCUUUUUGCUUAUUUAUAUUUCAUAUUUUAGUUGUUUUCUAAUAACCAAAAACAUUUGUGUAUUUUUAAUAAUAGUAGAGGUAAAUGAAAUUUUACAUGUCAGUAAAAAAACUGAAAGAUGAUGCUUGUAAUUUCAAGUCGAUUAAAGAAAAUUAUUAAUAAAACAAUAAAAUACAAAUUAUACAUUUUAUAUUGUGAUACUUAAAGUAGAUGACCUGGUUUAUCCCUGAAGAGAAAGCAUGGAUGCAUAAACCAGACCAUAUUGUAAAUAUUUCAAAUUCAUUGGUAAACAUUGUUUUAAGAAGGUGAUUAGCAAAUAUUGUUUCAAGAAGGUGAUUAAGAAGGUGAUGCAAAAUUUGGAGUACUUUCUGUUUUGUAUUUUUCGUGACUAUUUGUGAGCACUUGGUGCUUAAGACACACUCAAAGAGGUACUGACAAUUUAUCAUAUUCUAAAGCAAUAAAACAGGUUGAAAA